rnacentral:misc_RNA from 1 species
UGGUUCUCGCAUCGAUGAAGAACGCAGCGAAACGCGAUAGGUAAUGUGAAUUGCAGAAUUCCGUGAAUCAUCGAAUCUUUGAACGCACAUUGCGCCUGCUGGUAUUCCGGUAGGCAUGCCUGUUUGAGCGUCAGCAAAACCUCUCAAUGCAGAUUUUUCUGUGUCGGUUAUGGGCCAUGGAGGAUGAGUCUAAACCACUCGCUCCGGCUUUAAUAUUGCUGCACGACCGCAAGCUAAAAGCUAGGUUAAUGGAGUGGUGUUUACAUAUAUUCCAGCGCUAGUGGACAGUUUUGUGGCGUUAAACAUAGCGUUGCCCUUUACGGGGUGACUGAAGUUUGACCUCAAAUCAGACAAGGAUACCCGCUGA